AGAGUUUGAUCAUGGCUCAGAUUGAACGCUGGCGGCAGGCCUAACACAUGCAAGUCGAGCGGAUGAAGAGAGCUUGCUCUCUGAUUCAGCGGCGGACGGGUGAGUAAUGCCUAGGAAUCUGCCUGGUAGUGGGGGACAACGUCUCGAAAGGGACGCUAAUACCGCAUACGUCCUACGGGAGAAAGCAGGGGACCUUCGGGCCUUGCGCUAUCAGAUGAGCCUAGGUCGGAUUAGCUAGUUGGUGAGGUAAUGGCUCACCAAGGCGACGAUCCGUAACUGGUCUGAGAGGAUGAUCAGUCACACUGGAACUGAGACACGGUCCAGACUCCUACGGGAGGCAGCAGUGGGGAAUAUUGGACAAUGGGCGAAAGCCUGAUCCAGCCAUGCCGCGUGUGUGAAGAAGGUCUUCGGAUUGUAAAGCACUUUAAGUUGGGAGGAAGGGUUGUAGAUUAAUACUCUGCAAUUUUGACGUUACCGACAGAAUAAGCACCGGCUAACUCUGUGCCAGCAGCCGCGGUAAUACAGAGGGUGCAAGCGUUAAUCGGAAUUACUGGGCGUAAAGCGCGCGUAGGUGGUUUGUUAAGUUGGAUGUGAAAGCCCCGGGCUCAACCUGGGAACUGCAUUCAAAACUGACAAGCUAGAGUAUGGUAGAGGGUGGUGGAAUUUCCUGUGUAGCGGUGAAAUGCGUAGAU
rnacentral:rRNA from 1 species